CACGUAGGGUGCGAGCGUUGUCCGGAAUUACUGGGCGUAAAGUGUGCGCAGGCGGCUUCGCAAGUCGAGUGUGAAAUCCCCGAGCUUAACUUGGGAAUUGCGCUCGAAACUACGGAGCUGGAGUGUGGCAGAGGAAGGUGGAAUUCCACGUGUAGCGGUGAAAUGCGUAGAGAUGUGGAGGAACACCGAUGGCGAAGGCAGCCUUCUGGGCCAACACUGGACGCUCAUGCACGAAAGCGUGGGGAGCAAACAGG
rnacentral:rRNA from 1 species